rnacentral:RNase_P_RNA from 1 species
CAAGUCGGCCAGGCGGUCGCGGUCGACAGACCGAGGAAAGUCCGGGCUCCAUAGGGCGCGGUGCUGGAUAACGUCCAGGCGGGGGCGCAAGCGCGUUACCCGACGGAAAAGGGCCACAGAAAAGCAGACAGCCGGGGCAGCGCACGUGUGGCUGCCCCGGUGAUGGUGAAAAGGUGGUGUAAGAGACCACCGGCGUCCGUGGCGACACGGGCGGCCAGGCAACCCCCACCGGGAGCAAGGCCAAGCAGGAGCAAGUAGGGGCGACCCUUGUGGUCGUCCCCGUGGGGCGACCCUUGUGGUCGUCCCCGUGGGGCGACCCUUGUGGUCGUCCCCGUGGGGCGACCCUUGUGGUCGUCCCCGUGG